rnacentral:misc_RNA from 1 species
GAUGAAGAACGUAGCGAAAUGCGAUAAGUAAUGUGAAUUGCAGAAUCCAGUGAAUCAUCGAAUCUUUGAACGCACAUUGCGCCCGCCAGCAUUCUGGCGGGCAUGCCUGUUCGAGCGUCAUUUCAACCCUCGACCUCCCCUUGGGGAGGUCGGCGUUGGGGACCGGCAGCACACCGCCGGCCCUGAAAUGGAGUGGCGGCCCGUCUGCGGCGACCUCUGCGUAGUAAUACAGCUCGCACCGGAACCCCGACGCGGCCACGCCGUAAAACACCCAACUUCUGAACGUUGACCUCGAAUCAGGUAGGACUACCCGCUGAACUUAAGAAUAUCAAUAAGCGGAGGA